ensembl:lncRNA
AGCAAGUCCUCUGAGUUAAGAAACUCAGUUGAAACUUAAUGCCCUCUUUUCAUUAUGAUGAUCACUUCAUUAAUUGUAAGACGGAAUAACGUAAUAACUCAACUUUUCUUGAGUGUCUUCGUAAUCUCGCCAUGUGGUUAAGGUGCUUCGUCGGCCCGCGCUGAUGCUCGUAGACAUGCACGUGCAUUUUUUGCUUACCUUUGAUAAUGAAAUAAUCAACAGUUGAAUAGAUUGAAUAGGCUUUUUGGUGUUGUAUUAUACAAUGUUCUUCAGAGAUUUAUUUUCUAAAUCCAUGUUUGAAAGCAGUGAAUUGUCUACUAGGAAAACACUUUAGGCAGAGUUUGAAUGUAGCCAUAAAGCAUCCUAUAAUCAAACAUGUGGCUCAGCGCUGCUUGUUUGGGUAGGAUGUGUGUUAAUUUGGCUAAAAGGAUCAUCCAGAAAAGAAGGCAACAUUGCAGGCUGCGGAGAGAUUUAACAGGGAAUGGGAUUUUUUUGUGUGUGGUUUGUUGGUGUGCUUACAUGCUGCAGAAUGUGCUUUCAGUGUGUUCCAAGACAAAUAGACAAGGACAAGAUAAAUAAUGUCUAACAAACUGAUGCAAACUGCUUAUGAGUACUAGCUCCCUGAUUUACACUGUAAUUUUCUUAGUAUUCUCAGCCUUGGAUAAUUUAUAUCACAAUUCACAACAACAGUGAAAGGGAAUGUUAUGCAGACAUACACUAUACAGUGCCCUUCACUAAUAUUGGCACCCUUGGUAUAUAUGAGCAAAGAAGGCUGUGAAAAAUUGUCUUUAUCGCUGAACCUUUUGAUCUUUUGUUCAAUAAAUCUUCUCCUAUAACGCUGAUGAGGUUGGAGAAUACAUGGCGAGGGAUCUGAGACCGUUCCUCCGUACAGAAUCUCUCCAGAUCCUUCACAUUUCGAGGUCCACGCUGGUGGACUCUCCUCUUCAGUUCACCCCACAGGUGUUCUAUGGGGUUCAGGUCAGGGGACUGGGAUGGUCAUGGCAGGACCUUGAUGUUGUGGUCAGUAAACCAUUUCUGUGUUGAUUUUGAUGAUGUUUUGGAUCAUCGUCCUGCUGGAAGAUCCAACCACGGCCCAUUUGAAGCUUUCUGGCAGAGGCAGUCAGGUUUUCAUUUAAUAUCUGUUGAUAUUUGAUAGAGUCCAUGAUGCCAUGUAUCCUAACAAAAUGUCCAGGUCCUCUGGCAGAAAAACAGCCCAAAACAUUAAAGAUCCACCUCCAUAUUUAACCGUGGACAUGAGGUACUUUUCCAUACGGCUACCUCUCUG